GAUGAACGCUGGCUACAGGCUUAACACAUGCAAGUCGAGGGGAAACGACGGGGAAGCUUGCUUCCCCGGGCGUCGACCGGCGCACGGGUGAGUAACGCGUAUCCAACCUGCCUCUGACUGAGGGAUAACCCGUCGAAAGUCGGCCUAAUACCUCAUGGCAUCGUCUGCGGGCAUCCAACGACGAUUAAAGAUUUCAUCGGUCAGGGAUGGGGAUGCGUCUGAUUAGCUUGUUGGCGGGGUAACGGCCCACCAAGGCUACGAUCAGGAGGGGUUCUGAGAGGAAGGUCCCCCACAUUGGAACUGAGACACGGUCCAAACUCCUACGGGAGGCAGCAGUGAGGAAGAUUGGUCAAGGGGCGGGAGCCUGAACCAGCCAAGUAGCGUGCAGGAUGACGGCCCUAUGGGUUGUAAACUGCUUUUAUGCGGGGAUAAAGUGAGGGACGUGUCCUUCAUUGCAGGUACCGAAUGAAUAAGGACCGGCUAAUUCCGUG
rnacentral:rRNA from 1 species